UAUCCAGAGACUUGAUGUAGAAUAGACUAAGUCAUACAUCUAUCAUUCUAGAUCUAGGAUUUAGAUCUAGAUUCUUCAUCUAAUCUAUUCUAGAUUUAGAAAAGAAAACAAAUGGCUGUUUCUUCAUCUGACUUAUUGAAGGCUCUUCUGUUACCUGCUGGAUAAUCCUCAC
rnacentral:sRNA from 1 species